GGUCCCUGCUCUUAUCUUCUUCUCCUGCUGUCUUCCUUUGUGAAUUGAUCUUCCAUAGUGGAAUGAUCUGAUUCCCUUCUCUUUAUUUCGAGUAUCUACCAUAUAGGGUUUUGACUUGUGGUUACCUUGGGGCUUACAUAAAACUUCAUGAGAGCAUAACCAUCUACGUUACACUGAUAACAACUGAACUUUGCAUCACACAAAAACUCUACCCUUUUACUCCCCCCUUUUAUGUUUUUGAUACCACAAUCCACAUUUUUUAUACUGUGUAUUCAUUAAAUUAUUGUAGUCUUAGAGUUGACCCUUCAUCAACCUGGGUUUGAACUGCAUGGGUCCACUUGUGUGUGUCUGGGAAGUCUUUUACUCGCCUUCACUUCUCAACAACACAUUUGCUGGAUAAGGUGUUGGUUGGCAGUUUUUUCUCCUUCAGCCCUUUGAACAUACCAUCCAGUUCUCUCCUGCCUUGUAAGAAUUCCCUUGUAUGUAAGGAUUUAUUUUUUCUCUUGCUGCAUAUAAGAAUCUUUGUCUUUAGUUAGUUUUUGACAGUUUUGUUAUAAUGUGUCUUGGAGAAAAGCUCUUUAAAUUGAUUUCAUUUUAUGAGCUUCAUGAAUUGCAUAUCCAAAUCUCUUCCUGAUUUGGGAAGUUUUCAGACAUUAUUUCUUUAGAUAAGGUUUCUGCCUCCCAUCUUCUUCUGAGUCUCUAAUAAUUCACAGGUUCUUUGUUUUGAUAGUAUCAUAUGGUUUAUUCUACUGUUUUUCAUUCCUUUUUCUUCUUUCUCCUGUGGAUAGUUUCAAAGUUUCUGUCUUCUAAUUCACACAUUCUUCCCUCUGCUUGAUCGAAUCUGACGUUGUUGCUUUCUAUGGAAUCCUUCAUUCCGUCAUUGAAUUCUUCAGCUCCAGAAUUUAUUUGGUUAUUAUUAUUUCUAUCUCUCUGUUAAACAAACUUCUUGUUUUGUUUGUGUAUUGUCUUCCUCAUUUUGUCAAAUGGUUUUUCUGUGUUUUGUUGUAGUUUAUUGAGCUUCCUUAAAACAUCUUGUUUUGAAUUGGGCAUCAGGUAAGGCACAAGUCUUCAUGUCUUUGGGGUUGGUUCCUGGGUGAUCCCUGUGACCCUCUGCAGUGAACCAUGUCUCCUUGGUUCUCGUGCUCCUUGAAGUCUUGCAUUGCUGUCCUUGCACAUCAAGUGACAGUCACUUCCUCCAGUCUUCGCUGACUGACUUCAGGAGAGAAAUAUCUUCCAUCAGCUCUGCUAGGGACUCAGAGGCUUUCUCAGACCUUCAUUAGAUAAACCUGCUCCAUGCUUCUUGCUUCCUUUUAUAGCAGAAAUGCCUUCUCUUGAUUCCGUAUUGCAUGAGGCUGGAUGCUGACAGCCUCCUUUUGGCUUUCCCAGGAGUGAAGCUAAAACUCAAGUUUGUGGUCCCUUCCUGCCCUGAAGAUUGGAGCUAGCUUUUGGCAUGUGUUCACUAGCUGUCUGCCAAAGCUUGCCCUCACCAUCAGGAGUGCACACAUGCAUCUGGCCACAGGACUUGGGUGAGGAGCAUGGAGUGCUAGGUGCCACUUGGGGAAUCUGCAAGUGAGGCAUUCCCCGGGGCUUAUGGGUGGGCUUCUUGAUGGGGUCUGCAGCAGUCAGUAGGACCCACAAUCCUUUAAUGCCCUCGGAGAGUCUGUGGUGCUCUUCCAGCAGCUCAGGCCUUCGGUCAUGCAGCUCAUGACUCAGUACCCCGAAGAGAGUGAGAGAAGGCUGAGCCUCUUUGGUUGUGACCUGCACAGCUGGAGAAGUUGGGUGUCACUCACACAUUCUCAUUUCCCUGCAGGAAAAGUAACAGGUGAGAAGCUCUUGGCUCUGACCUGUGUUUUCUUGAGGGAAAGGGUGAUGUGGGUGAAGUCAGACUGUUCCUCUGACCCUCUCCAGUGUAUCCUAACUGUAUUUGUUUGUUCCGGUGGUGUGCUGGAACUUCUCUGGAAACCUGGACUUCCACAAAGGCUCUGUUACCCGUGGGUGACUAUCUAAAGCUGUGUCAUCCAGGGGCUCCCAGACUGUGGCUGAGGGGCCAGAGUAGGUCCACAGCCAGGAGCCAGGCACAUGGGUGCCCUGAGACUCCUUCCAGGCCCCUUGGCGUAUGGUGCUGGAUCCCGUUCCCACAAAGGCACUCUUUUCUGUGGACGGAUACCAAACCGUUGCUGCCGGUGGGGGGAGGGGAAGAAUGAGGGCACUAUGUUGCUGACAUGACCUGCAGAACAUUUUUUUUUUAUCAGUUCUUGUACAUUCAUUGUUAAAAUGUAUUUUUAGAUAUUAUGAGAGGGAUCCUUUUCCAUCAAAUAUCUCAUUAUUGUUGCCAUACAGGAAACAAUUACUGCAUGUUUAUCUUCAAGUUGAACAUCUUCUGAUAGUUCUAAUAAUUUUUAAAUGAUUUCAUAGAUCCUAAAUCUGUAUCUAGAUUGUAUUGGCACGGAUUGGCCAAAGUGAGUGAUAGUGGGUAGCCUAUUUUACAUCUUUAGGGUUUCGUUAUCUAAAAUAAUGUGUUUUUAGUUUGAUAUGCAGUCUUUAUUGUGACAAGGAACUUUGAGCUCCAGUUUGCUGAUUGUUACUACUAGGAAUGUAUGUUAAAUUUGACAUCUUUUCAGUAAAGAUAGAGAUGCUUAAAUUUUUCUCAGUCAUUUUAUAUUAUAUAUUUCUUUCCAUGUUUGCUAUUAUUAUAGGAAGAAACUUCAAUUAUAUUUUCAGAUUUAACAGCAUGAAGUUGUAUAAAAUAGUCAUUUAAUUUUAAAAAUAAUUCCCACAUAGCUGGUCAUUCCUCCCAUUCUGUUGGCCUGUAUUCUGCUUUGUCUAAUCUGUUUUGACCUGUGUGAGACUUGACCUUGUAGUUGUUAUUUUAGACUCUCAUAUUCAUCUCAGUUUCUUUCCCAAAAUGCCAGCUAUUGGCCUUACUUGCCAGUUUUAUUUUUUCCUAAUAAAGUACUUCUCUUUUAUCUACUUUCUACAUUAAAAAAAGUGUUGUUUAUAUAGCUUUCUGAUUUGAAUGGCUCACUUUUCAUCUUUCUCAUUCAAUAAGUGUACUUACCACUAAUUGUCAUCUAUGUACAACUUUAGAUAUAUAACACAGAAUACUAGUGUUCUCGCUGUCAUGAACACCAGAAUAGUGUAUACUUUAUAUUUUUAAUUUUCAGAUACAUUUCAAUGUUCAUUUAUUUUAUUGUGACUUUCUACUUUAUUUCAUUUUUUGCAUUUGCCUCAUUUAUUUUUGAGCAUGCCUUUAAUAGAACAUUUUUGUCUCAUUUGGUUCAAAUGUCUCAUUAGCACCUAUUGGUGGACUUCUUUCAAUGUAAUUCGAGAGUUUGUUGUUUAAUAGGGGAAUUUAUCUCAGUCGUGUUUGUUAUGAUUACUGUUAUAUUUUAGUCCUGUCAUCUUAGCUUUUCUACUCAUUAUCCUCUCUUGUUGCCUUUUUCUGACUUCUGCUGGUUCUGAAUCACCACCUACAUACACCUCUGCCUUGGUCUUUAUAAUUGCUGUGUCAUCAUCACUGAAUGGAUGUUUCCUUGGUGGUAAACUCUGGUUAUUUAUGAUUCUUCUCUUUUAUAAUCAUUGCUGUAGUGAACGUACUCAUGAAUGUAUCUUGGCAAACAAUUUUGAGUAUAUCUGUUGGGUGAAUUUUAGAGGAGGGAUUAAGGGUAACUGUCAGCCAGACGGGUUGCACAUUUUUAGUUCUCCUGGUGGCUUAUAAGAAUGUGCAUCCCACUCAUUCUCAUCAGCUCUAGAGAAUUAUCACAAAACUUUUCAAUUCUUGCCAAUUAAUAGUGAAAGUGUCUUAUUUUUGUUUUAUUUUAGUUUUCUUUAAUUAUAAGUAAGGCUGAACUGUACAGAAACCAUACAUCUGUAGUCCUUCUGUAAGCUACUUGUCAUAUAUUAAGGAAACUGCUUCUAAUCCUUUGAGUUGCAGGUAUGUUUUCCUGAUUUGUCAUUGAUCUUAUAUUUUUUCUCCCUAUAUAUAAGUUUUGAAGUUUUAUGUAGUUAUCAGUGAGUUCCUUUAUGGUUUGUGUGUGUGGAAAAUCUUACUAGAAAGGUCCUCCCCACUUCCAGGUCAUACAUUUAUUUUAUAAUGCAGUCUUCUAAAAUAAUUAUGCUCCAGGUUUUAUGUUUAACUCUUUGUUCCAUAUGGAAUAUAAGGAGUCAGUCCCAUUUUUGUUUAUAUCCUCUCCUCCUUUUCUCUUAUUCUCUUUCCUUCUUGUUCUUGACCCAAGCCUGACUCCUGGGAUUCAGGAACUGUGCAGUCUAGUUCUACACUGCUAGAGACUAUGUUUAGUUAACAUUUCACUGCAUUUGUAUUCUCUCUUCUGUAGGUACAUUUGUAUGUGUGAGCGUGUGAUCUACUUCAGGGUCUGCUGCGAGUGUCACAGCACCGCUCCCAAGUCCUUUGGCAUCUGUCCCAAGGACCAGGACACGUUGUGUGCUGGUGACCAGGAGUACCCCAUGGAGACUCACACUGACGCAUUCCUGGUGUAUGACAGAUGAUCUUUAUUCACAUUCCCAAGCGUUCAAGCACAGAGUGGCCCCCGGUGUCCAGUUUCACCUCCCAGAGUCUCGGGUACUUGCUGUCCGCUGCAGCCUGGAGGUAGGUGACCUCCUCCUCACCUCCGGUCAGGCCAGAAGCAGCCUAAUGCUACGUCACAGCACCCAGGUCACUCACCUCACUCCAUCUCAUCUCAUGGGCACUUCAUCAUCUUACAUCACAAGAAGGGCACUGAAACGGAAUUCCUUUGAACAACUCCCUAAGCGAGCAGGAGGGCCCGGGAAGGCAUGUGUCCCUGCGGCUGGGAAGCCCAGCCUAAAACCACCGGUUUUCAGAAUUCCUAUGCGGCCUGUCACUUUGAGGGAGCCUCUCGCCCUGGGCAUGUGGCGGGUGGCAUGGCUGUUAGAGGCAGCGAGGGCACUGAGGCGCACCCCCCAAGGAGGCUGGCUGGGAACCAGGCAGAGCCACGAAGCCCUGGGGCUCACACCAGCCCCUCUGCACCCCAUGGGAGUGUGGGCUGAGAAACAAGUGGGAAGACGCAGGGGAUGCGUCCAGUGAUAAUGGUUCCAGGGGUGUGACUAUGAGCAGCUCUGUCUUAGUGACCCGAAGCUGGGAGUUUGUCAGAACACCAUACUCUCACAGACUGCUAUAAAAAAAGACGGACUUUUACUCAAUCUAAAACAACACACAGAAUGACAUGAACAAUAUUAACACUUACAGUUAUACAUUUAGGCCUUUAUAAAUACUACUCUCUCUUAGAACAGCUCCGUGAGCCAGAGGCGAUUGCUUCUGCACCCCAGACGAGGAAAUGAGGCUCAGUGGCCGCUUUUUGCCAGAAGCCACGAGGCGGACAGGCAGGGUGGGGUCAGGAACUGGGGUCAGCUGGCCCUCCCACCCUGCCACCCUGUCCUUUUUGCGUGGGGUACAGCACAGGGAGAUCGUGAGACAAGCCAAGAAGAGUAAACAUAAAAGAAAAAUGGUUGAAAGGGUACAAACUGAAGUUACUUAUUUCUGGGACGCUCACAUUUUCCUGACCCCCUGAGGCUCCCGGAGGCCUCAGUAAAGCUAUGGCCCUGUGGGGGCUUUAUUUUUUAGAAAGUUCUUUCUACUUUUUUACUUGCAGUUAAGGGGGUAUGAAAAGCUUAAGCUUGUUUCCAUUCUGUUAUCUAAAGAGAGAUAAGUUUUUUUAAGCAAUUAUCACAGGAUGGCCAAACCAAAGUUGCUUUGAACUCAACCUUAUUCCAGUUUUAUGAAUUGUACGAUUUAACUAGAAAAGACAAUCGAUAAGUGUUUUAUUGUCAGGUUGGAAAGUCAUGGAAAGUCACUUUAACUUGAACACGAUUUCGAGCAGCAUCUCAACUGUCUGAAAAGCCUAAAAUGCGCAGCGAGUCGCAGCGCCCGCGGCCUCCGGCCAGCACAGGGACCGUCUGGAGAGCCAGGGCU